rnacentral:rRNA from 1 species
UGGGGAAUUUUGGACAAUGGGCGAAAGCCUGAUCCAGCAAUGCCGCGUGUGUGAAGAAGGCCUUCGGGUUGUAAAGCACUUUUGUCCGGAAAGAAAUCCUUGGCUCUAAUACAGUCGGGGGAUGACGGUACCGGAAGAAUAAGCACCGGCUAACUACGUGCCAGCAGCCGCGGUAAUACGUAGGGUGCAAGCGUUAAUCGGAAUUACUGGGCGUAAGCGUGCGCAGGCGGUUUGCUAAGACCGAUGUGAAAUCCCCGGGCUCAACCUGGGAACUGCAUUGGUGACUGGCAGGCUAGAGUAUGGCAGAGGGGGGUAGAAUUCCACGUGUAGCAGUGAAAUGCGUAGAGAUGUGGAGGAAUACCGAUGGCGAAGGCAGCCCCCUGGGCCAAUACUGACGCUCAUGCACGAAAGCGUGGGGAGCAAACAGGAUUAGAUACCCUGGUAGUCCACGCCCUAAACGAUGUCAACUAGUUGUUGGGGAUUCAUUUCCUUAGUAACGUAGCUAACGCGUGAAGUUGACCGCCUGGGGAGUACGGUCGCAAGAUUAAAACUCAAAUGAAUUGACGGGGUCAUAGCUA